CUGAAACAUUAAGAGAUUAAGUUACUGAGUAUAUUGUGUCCAGUCUUCAUCUGCAUUGGAUCAUGAAAAUGACGUCAUCUACAGCAGUGUAACCACAACAACCAAAAAGAAAACUCUCUCUCAGGCAGUCAGAGAUGAUGAGGUGAUCUACAGCUCUGUGGUUUUGGAAUAAGAGGUGUAAGCGAGUGUGUUUCUGGCCAGGUCUCUUACAAUGAAGAUACUGCAAUUCAAGACAUCUUACAACCCC